GACGAACGCUGGCGGCGCGCUUAACACAUGCAAGUCGAACGGUGAAGCGCCUUCCUUUUUGGUGGGUGUGGAUGAGUGGCGAACGGGUGAGUAACACGUGAGUAACCUGCCCCCUUCUUCUGGAUAACCGCAUGAAAGUGUGGCUAAUACGGGAUAUUCUGGGUCUGUCGCAUGAUGGGUCUGGGAAAGAUAUUGUUUCGGUGGGGGAUGGGCUCGCGGCCUAUCAGCUUGUUGGUGGGGUGAUGGCCUACCAAGGCGGUGACGGGUAGCCGGCCUGAGAGGGUGGACGGUCACACUGGGACUGAGACACGGCCCAGACUCCUACGGGAGGCAGCAGUGGGGAAUAUUGCACAAUGGGCGCAAGCCUGAUGCAGCGACGCCGCGUGAGGGAUGGAGGCCUUCGGGUUGUGAACCUCUUUCGCCAGUGAAGCAGGCCUGCCUCGUUUGUGGGUGGGUUGACGGUAGCUGGAUAAGAAGCGCCGGCUAACUACGU
rnacentral:rRNA from 1 species